rnacentral:rRNA from 1 species
GUGGGGAAUAUUGCACAAUGGGCGCAAGCCUGAUGCAGCGACGCCGCGUGGGGGAUGACGGCCUUCGGGUUGUAAACCUCUUUCAGCAGGGACGAAGGGUGACUGACGGUACCUGUAGAAGAAGCACCGGCCAACUACGUGCCAGCAGCCGCGGUAAUACGUAGGGUGCGAGCGUUGUCCGGAAUUACUGGGCGUAAAGAGCUCGUAGGUGGUUUGUCGCGUUGUUCGUGAAAACUCACAGCUUAACUGUGGGCGUGCGGGCGAUACGGGCAGACUGGAGUACUGCAGGGGAGACUGGAAUUCCUGGUGUAGCGGUGGAAUGCGCAGAUAUCAGGAGGAACACCGGUGGCGAAGGCGGGUCUCUGGGCAGUAACUGACGCUGAGGAGCGAAAGCGUGGGGAGCGAACAGGAUUAGAAACCCCAGUAGUCC